rnacentral:rRNA from 1 species
UGGGGAAUAUUGGGCAAUGGGCGAAAGCCUGACCCAGCAACGCCGCGUGAGGGAAGAAGGUUUUCGGAUUGUAAACCUCUGUCCUCAAGGACGAAGGGAGUGACGGUACUUGAGGAGGAAGCCCCGGCUAACUACGUGCCAGCAGCCGCGGUAAUACGUAGGGGGCGAGCGUUGUCCGGAAUGACUGGGCGUAAAGGGCGUGUAGGCGGCCGAUUAAGUCUGGAGUGAAAGUCCUGCUUUCAAGGUGGGAAUUGCUUUGGAGACUGGUAGGCUUGAGUGCGGAAGAGGUAAGUGGAAUUCCCAGUGUAGCGGUGAAAUGCGUAGAGAUUGGGAGGAACACCAGUGGCGAAGGCGACUUACUGGGCCGUAACUGACGCUGAGGCGCGAAAGCGUGGGGAGC